rnacentral:rRNA from 1 species
GUGGGAUCCCGGCCCCCCCACCGGGGCCGGGCNCACCACCCGCCCGUCUCGCCCGCAGCGUCGGGGAGGUGGAGCGUGAGCGCGCGCGAUAGGACCCGAAAGAUGGUGAACUAUGCCUGGGCAGGGC